UACGAAGGGGGCUAGCGUUGCUCGGAAUCACUGGGCGUAAAGCGCACGUAGGCGGAUUGCUAAGUCAGGGGUGAAAUCCUGGAGCUCAACUCCAGAACUGCCUUUGAUACUGGCAACCUUGAGUCCGGGAGAGGUGAGUGGAACUGCGAGUGUAGAGGUGAAAUUCGUAGAUAUUCGCAAGAACACGAGUGGCGAAGGCGGCUCACUGGCCCGGUACUGACGCUGAGGUGCGAAAGCGUGGGGAGCAAACAGG
rnacentral:rRNA from 1 species